rnacentral:rRNA from 1 species
UACGUAGGGUGCGAGCGUUAAUCGGAAUUACUGGGCGUAAAGCGUGCGUAGGCGGUCCGCAAGUCUGAUGUGAAAGCCCCGGGCUCAACCUGGGAACUGCAUUGGAAACUAGCGGUCUGGAGGCCGGUAGAGGGGGUGGAAUUCCGGGUGUAGUGGUGAAAUGCGUAGAGAUCCGGAGGAACACCAGUGGCGAAGGCGGCCCCUGGGCCGCGCCUGACGCUGAGACGCGAAAGCGCGGGGAGCGAACGGG